rnacentral:rRNA from 1 species
UCUGAGGGGAACACAAUACCGGGGUAGCCCUCUGU